AGCAGUGGGGAAUAUUGCACAAUGGGGGAGACCCUGAUGCAGCCAUGCCGCGUGUGUGAAGAAGGCCUUCGGGUUGUAAAGCACUUUCAGCGAGGAGGAAAGGUUGGCAGCUAAUAUCUGUCAGCUGUGACGUUACUCGCAGAAGAAGCACCGGCUAACUCCGUGCCAGCAGCCGCGGUAAUACGGAGGGUGCAAGCGUUAAUCGGAAUUACUGGGCGUAAAGCGCACGCAGGCGGUUGGAUAAGUUAGAUGUGAAAGCCCCGGGCUCAACCUGGGAAUUGCAUUUAAAACUGUUCAGCUAGAGUCUUGUAGAGGGGGGUAGAAUUCCAGGUGUAGCGGUGAAAUGCGUAGAGAUCUGGAGGA
rnacentral:rRNA from 1 species